GGGAAAUUGUUCCUUCAGUUUAUUUAAUUUACAAUCAUUGUCCUUCUAUGUUCUGCAUUUUAUUUAUUUAUUUAUUUUCAGUAGUAUAGCAUGUGGUACAAUGGAUAAGCGUGUUCAAGGUCUUUCUGACACGGCUAUGUUAUGUUAUUAAAUCCUAGCAGUUGUUAUUCCUCUUUUGAUGGAUGUACUAUGUGUAUUUGUAAGCAGGGCAGGUGAUGGAGCUAUAAUCAGAACAUUUAUCCCAUUCCACCUAGUUAAUAGCACCAGCAAUGCCCUAAAAUGAAGUGUUCCCUUUUGUGACUUUGUCAUUUAGGUUUUUGAUUGACAUAUUCUAAUUACCAAAACAUGUUGUCCAUUGUGGUUGUAACAAAUGGGUGAUGUGUUUUAUACUUUCUUGUCAAAGAUCUGUCAACUGCAAUGUUACAUUUUUAUUUUGUUGGGUUAAAUUAAAAUUGUUUGUUAAUUUAUUAAGAUGUGAUAUGGACAAUACUUGCACAUUUUACCAAAAACAAAUCACACUGUCUUUGUCCUCGGGGCCCACGAACACGUCAAUUGGCCUGUUAUCAAGACUGCUGAGCUUUA